rnacentral:rRNA from 1 species
AGCAGCCGCGGUAAUUCCAGCUCCAAUAGCGUAUAUUAAAGUUGUUGCAGUUAAAAAGCUCGUAGUUGAAUUUCGGGAUCGGCAUGUUGGUCGUGCCUUACGGGGUAUGAACUGGCAUCGCCGGUUUCUCACCUUCUGGAGAAUCGUGAUGCUCUUAAUUGGGUGUUACGUGGAUCCAGGACCUUUACCUUGAAAAAAUUAGAGUGUUUAAAGCAGGCAUAUUGCUCGAAUACAUUAGCAUGGAAUAAUAAAAUAGGACGGUUUGGUUCUAUUUUGUUGGUUUCUAGGAUCACCGUAAUGAUUAAUAGGGAUAGUUGGGGGCAUUAGUAUUCAAUUGUCAGAGGUGAAAUUCUUGGAUUUAUUGAAGACUAACUACUGCGAAAGCAUUUGCCAAGGAUGUUUUCAUUAAUCAAGAACGAAAGUUAGGGGAAUCGAAGACGAUCAGAUACCGUCGUAGUCUUAACCAUAAACUAUGACCGACUAGGAAUCAGACGAUGUUAAUUUUUUAAUGUAACUCGUU